UACGUAGGGGGCCAAGCGUUAGUCCGGAUUUAUUGGGCGUAAAGAGCGUGGUAGGCGGCUAGACAGGUCUGCUGUGAAAACUCGAGGCUCAACCCUCGAGAUGUCGGCGGAAACCGUCUGGCUAGAGUCCGGAAGAGGAGAGUGGAAUUCCUGGGUGUAGCGGUGAAAUGCGGCAGAUAUCAGGAAGAACACCUAUGGCGAAAGGCAG
rnacentral:rRNA from 1 species